rnacentral:rRNA from 1 species
UACGAAGGGGGCUAGCGUUGCUCGGAAUUACUGGGCGUAAAGCGCACGUAGGCGGCUUUGUAAGUUAGAGGUGAAAGCCUGGAGCUCAACUCCAGAAUUGCCGUUAAGACUGCAUCGCUUGAAUCCGGGAGAGGUGAGUGGAAUUCCGAGUGUAGAGGUGAAAUUCGUAGAUAUUCGGAAGAACACCAGUGGCGAAGGCGGCUCACUGGACCGGUAUUGACGCUGAGGUGCGAAAGCUUGGGGAGCAAACAGG